ACGGGUGAGGAAUGCGUCGGAAUCUGCCUAUUUGUGGGGGAUAACGUAGGGAAACUUACGCUAAUACCGCAUACGACCUACGGGUGAAAGUGGGGGACCGCAAGGCCUCACGCAGAUAGAUGAGCCGACGCCGGAUUAGCUAGUUGGCGGGGUAAAGGCCCACCAAGGCGACGAUCCGUAGCUGGUCUGAGAGGAUGAUCAGCCACACUGGAACUGAGACACGGUCCAGACUCCUACGGGAGGCAGCAGUGGGGAAUAUUGGACAAUGGGCGCAAGCCUGAUCCAGCCAUGCCGCGUGUGUGAAGAAGGCCUUCGGGUUGUAAAGCACUUUUGUCCGGAAAGAAAACCUUUCGAUUAAUACUCGGGGGGAAUGACGGUACCGGAAGAAUAAGCACCGGCUAACUUCGUGCCAGCAGCCGCGGUAAUACGAAGGGUGCAAGCGUUACUCGGAAUUACUGGGCGUAAAGCGUGCGUAGGUGGUUUGUUAAGUCUGAUGUGAAAGCCCUGGGCUCAACCUGGGAACUGCAUUGGAAACUGGCUUACUAGAGUGCGGUAGAGGGUAGUGGAAUUCCCGGUGU
rnacentral:rRNA from 3 species